rnacentral:lncRNA from 1 species
UCCAAUCUUUGCAGCUUUGAUCCAGUUCUUGAUCAUAGGCUCGAGCACGCUCCAGUCUGUUCUGUUAAACCGCGAGAUCUUACACUUUUCGAUCCCAAGUAAGUGUAGCCCUUCAUCUACAAUUGACUUUCUGAUCAACUUAUAGCUCUUUAUGCAUUCUUUACCAUAUCCACAGCUGAUCAUGGUCUCUGCUAUGACCUUGAGGUCUGACAUCACAAGUGCUGCAGCUUUUUCGACCUUUGUGAUCGAUUCACCAGCCUUCUUCAGCUCAUCUUC